GGCAAUGGAGGGGACGGAGGAUCUGUACGCGCUGCUGGGAUUGCCUGGAGGUGUCGAUGGCGCUGCGAUCCAGGUAACCGAGUUGAAGAAGGCGUGGAGGAGGCGCUGCCUGGAAUGGCAUCCAGACAAGCGCCCCGGCGAUGCUACUGCAGCCGCUCAGUUCAAUCGCAUCAACAAUGCGUUCGAGGUGCUGUCCGAUGCCAAGGCGCGCAAGGCGUACGACGAGCUCCAGCUCCUCCGGAGGAGGAGGGAGGAGGAAAAGAAAGAGAUGAGCGCCAAGCGCCAGAAGAUGGUGGAUGAUCUACAAAAGAGAGAGGCGGCUUUCGAGCUCCAGCGCAGGGAGAAGGCGGCGGAGGUGAGCGCCGCGCAGAGGCUCAAGGAGGAGAUUGCCAGGAUACGAGUGAAGAAAUCGCAGAAGACGAUGGGUAGGAAUGGGAUCGAGCCUGGCAAGCCUGUGGAUAUCAUCGUGAGCGAAGAGGACAAAGACAAGGCGCUCAAAGUUACGUGGGACUUGGCAGGCACUCCGGGAUACGAUGUUGAAAGCUUGCGCGGUAUAUUUCAGCGAUUUGGCCCGGUUGAGGACGUGCUGAGACUCGAGAAGAAGAAGAAAGGCGUCGCGCUGGUGGUGAUGGUAACUGCGCAGUCCGCGCUCGAAGCCUCUCAGUCGCAAUGUGGACAUAUCGCCAAUCCCUUGCUCGUGAUUCCUCUCGGGAAUCCGUUCAGGCAAGAAGGUGCAGAGAACCCUCGAGACACGAAAACUCCCGCGGCGGCCAGGGCCCCCUCCCCGUCCCCGGCGGCAAAUCACGCUACACUCGCGGGCUCCGGUUUUGGUGACCGGGAAGAUUUAGUCCUCCGCAAGCUCAAAGAGGCCCAGGAGAGGAAGAGAAAGAUGGACGCGGCCGCAAAGGAGGGAUGAAGACAAGAGUGCGCGAAGCACGCCUGGGCGAUGCGUAAAAAGGCGGGGCUUGGAAGCUAGUAGAGGUGUCGAGCGCUUGUUCACGAGUCAUGACAGUGGUGUCGAACGAAUCUGGAGCACAAAGACAAGCGCUAAGAUCCAUGGAUCGAUCGACACAAAUCGCUGCGAGGAAAUCUCCCGCCGGUUCGCGAGUCGAAGAUCGAAGCGAGUGAGUUUUUUGUCCUAGUUUUCUUGUCUUGGAUCAGGAGAGUAGCUAGCGCUAGCCUUUGACUCGACCGUUAAUCUGUAGCUAUCGUGGCGCCAUCGCGGCCGACCAGCCCGGCUUCAUCGCCAGUGACAUCACAAGAACGAAGAUAUUGUGUGGAUAUGCAUGGGUCCCACUGUGCUCCCGAUCUAAACAACCACGCCCCGGCGCGACAAUCUCCACCGUCGGUCGCUUACCAUUUGGAAGAUCAUGAUAAAAAAUAGAGAAGAAAAGAAUCCAUUGGGCCAUUGUUUAGUCGCCCAAAAUCUUCCAACGUAUCGCGGCAACUUUAGAAAAAGAAAAGCGCAUAUUCUUGGUC